rnacentral:rRNA from 1 species
UGGGGAAUAUUGCGCAAUGGGGGGAACCCUGACGCAGCCAUGCCGCGUGAAUGAAGAAGGCCUUCGGGUUGUAAAGUUCUUUCGGUAUUGAGGAAGGUUGAUGUGUUAAUAGCACAUCAAAUUGACGUUAAAUACAGAAGAAGCACCGGCUAACUCCGUGCCAGCAGCCGCGGUAAUACGGAGGGUGCGAGCGUUAAUCGGAAUAACUGGGCGUAAAGGGCACGCAGGCGGUUAUUUAAGUGAGGUGUGAAAGCCCCGGGCUUAACCUGGGAAUUGCAUUUCAGACUGGGUAACUAGAGUACUUUAGGGAGGGGUAGAAUUCCACGUGUAGCGGUGAAAUGCGUAGAGAUGUGGAGGAAUACCGAAGGCGAAGGCAGCCCCUUGGGAAUGUACUGACACUCAUGUGCGAAAGCGUGGGGAGCAAACAGGAUUAGAUACCCUGGUAGUCCACGCUGUAAACGCUGUCGAUUUGGGGGUUGGGGUUUAACUCUGGCGCCCGUAGCUAACGUGAUAAAUCGACCGCCUGGGGAGUACGGCCGCAAGGUU